UUAGAGUUUGAUCCUGGCUCAGAACAAACGCUGGCGGCGUGCCUAAUACAUGCAAGUCGAACGCAGUAGCAAUACUGAGUGGCGUACGGGUGAGGAACACGUGGAUAAUCUACCUUUGAGUGGGGAACAACCUUUCGAAAGAAGGGCUAAUACCGCAUAAGACCACAGUGACUGCGGUCACAGGGGUCAAAGGGGGCGUAAGCUCUCGCUUGAAGAUGAGUCCGCGCUCGAUUAGCUAGUUGGUAGGGUAAUGGCCUACCAAGGCGACGAUCGAUAGCUGGUCUGAGAGGACGACCAGCCACACUGGAACUGAGACACGGUCCAGACUCCUACGGGAGGCAGCAGCAGGGAAUAUUGCACAAUGGAGGAAACUCUGAUGCAGCGACGCCGCGUGAGUGAUGAAGGCUUUCGGGUCGUAAAGCUCUGUUGUACGGGAAGAAGGUCAUUUACCUAAUACGUAAGAGGCUUGACGGUACCGUAUAAGAAAGGACCGGCUAACUUCGUGCCAGCAGCCGCGGUAAGACGAGGGGUCCUAGCGUUGUUCGGAAUCAUUGGGCGUAAAGCGUAUGUAGGCGGCUUUUCAAGUCAGAUGUGAAAGCCCACGGCUUAACCGUGGAAAUGCAUUUGAUACUGCUAAGCUUGAGUGCGGAAGAGGAUGGUAGAAUUCCUGGUGUAGUGGUGAAAUACGUAGAUAUCAGAGGAAUACGGGAGGCGAAGCGGCCAUCUGGUCCGCUACUGACGCUGAGAUACGAAAGCGUGGGGAUCAAACAGGAUUAGAUACCCUGGUAGUCCACGCCGUAAACGAUGGAUACUUGGUGUUGGAGGUAUUGACCCCUUCAGUGCCGAAGCUAACGCGUUAAGUAUCCCGCCUGGGAAGUACGGUCGCAAGAUUAAAACUCAAAGAAAUUGACGGGGGCCCGCACAAGCGGUGGAGCAUGUGGUUCAAUUCGAUGCAACGCGAAAAACCUUACCUGGGUUUGAAGUGCUAGUGAAUACGGUAGAGAUAUCGUAGGCCUUCGGGACACUAGUAUCAGGUGCUGCAUGGCUGUCGUCAGCUCGUGUCGUGAGAUGUCGGGUUAAGUCCCAUAACGAGCGCAACCCCUGUCUUUAGUUGCCAGCAUUAAGUUGGGCACUCUAAAGAGACUGCCGACGUUAAGUCGGAGGAAGGUGGGGAUGACGUCAAGUCCUCAUGGCCUUUAUGUCCAGGGCUACACACGUGCUACAAUGGUCGGUACAAAGGGCUGCAAGCCUGCGAAGGUAAGCUAAUCCCAAAAAACCGAUCUAAGUUCGGAUUGGAGUCUGCAACUCGACUCCAUGAAGCUGGAAUCGCUAGUAAUCGCGGAUCAGCAUGCCGCGGUGAAUACGUUCCCGGGCCUUG
rnacentral:rRNA from 1 species